GACGAACGCUGGCGGCGUGCUUAACACAUGCAAGUCGAACGGAAAGGCCCUGCUUUUGUUGGGUGCUCGAGUGGCGAACGGGUGAGUAACACGUGAGUAACCUGCCCUGUACUUUGUGAUAACUUCAGGAAACUGGGGCUAAUACCGGAUAGGAGCUCCUGCUGCAUGGUGGGGGUUGGAAAGUUUCGGCGGUUGGGGCUGGACUCGCGGCUUAUCAGCUUGUUGGUGGGGUAGUGGCUUACCAAGGCUUUGACGGGUAGCCGGCCUGAGAGGGUGACCGGCCACAUUGGGACUGAGAUACGGACCAGACUCGUACGGGAGGCAGCAGUGGGGAAUAUUGCACAAUGGGGGGAAGCCUGAUGCAGAAACGCCGCGUGCGGGAUGACGGCCUUCGGGUUGUAAACAGCUUUCGCCUGUGACGAAGCGUGAGUGACGGUAAUGGGUAAAGAAGCACCGGCUAACUACGUG
rnacentral:rRNA from 1 species